rnacentral:rRNA from 1 species
UACGGGGGGGGGCAAGCGUUGUUCGGAAUUACUGGGCGUAAAGGGCUCGUAGGCGGCCAACUAAGUCAGACGUGAAAUCCCUCGGCUUAACCGGGGAACUGCGUCUGAUACUGGAUGGCUUGAAUCCGGGAGAGGGAUGUGGAAUUCCAGGUGUAGCGGUGAAAUGCGUAGAUAUCUGGAGGAACACCGGUGGCGAAGGCGGCAUCCUGGACCGGUAUUGACGCUGAGGCGCGAAAGCUAGGGGAGCAAACGGGG